rnacentral:lncRNA from 1 species
ACAAUAUAGCAGGAGUGAAAGAACAUAUUUUCCAAGCCAGACAAUCUACACUUGCAGAACAUAAGGAGUUAAGUGAAACUCCUUUGAUCUAUAUCCAAAAGAAGAGAUGAUUAGUGACGCCACUGAUUCCUUAACAGAAUUAAAGAUGAAUAAUCAAAAAUCUCCAAAUCCAUUAUUCUGUUUAAUGACAAAGUUGAAAUAUGGAACUAAAAUCCAUUGAAAGGUUAAUAUACUCAACAACACAUAUUUGGAUUGCUAACACCAGGAAGAGGGAUGAAGCAUCACAUAAAAUAUCUACUGCUAAGAGACAAACAAAUAGCCCAAUUUAAACAUCUUGACAAAUGAGAUCUUACUAAAAUCAAUUACAAUCCAUAUUGCAUCAACGAACUGAUUCCAUGCACCCAACAAUGACAACACAAGGAAAAAGGAAAAUCAGAGAAAUAGAUUACUAAUUUAUCAAAACAGGACAAAUAAAAAGUUGAAUAAACUAAGCAAGCAGGAGAUUUCAACAUUUAAAAUCUAAUAAAGCAUCAAAAAAUACUUCGAUUGAAGAGUGAACCUCACAAAAUUUCCGAUUGAUAAGAAAAUGGAUUCAAGUCGAGUAUAGCAGAGCGAGAACCAACACGAGCAAUGGGAAUAGUAAAUCCCGGGACCAGAAUCGUGACUGGCACUUGGGGUUAUUUUAUAUUGAGGAGAAAUCCAAAUUUUGGCUGGACCUUCAGUCGACUAAAUGUGAACAAAGCAAUAACAUUCGCAGUCAAUUUUUGAGUCAGAUAGAAACAAUUGCUCGUUCAUUUUGUCCUCCAGUUCCCCUUCCUAUUUUUUUUGGUUUGUUCUUUCUUUUGUGUAUUGCAGCUGAUUGAUUGGUGUGUUUUUGUGUAUAUGCAGCUGAAGCUUUGUGGAGAAAAAUCGUGGAGGAAGAAGCCAAGGCUGAGGGCGGGUCUGUAUAUGUAACGGC